UUGAAAUACCGGUUCUCGUACGAUCACUGAAGUUAGGCAACAUCGAGCCUGGUCAGUAAUUAGAUGGGUGAUCGCUUAGGAAUACCAGAUGCUGUAAG